rnacentral:rRNA from 1 species
GGGAGCUUGCUCCCUGAUGUUAGCGGCGGACGGGUGAGUAACACGUGGGUAACCUGCCUGUAAGACUGGGAUAACUCCGGGAAACCGGGGCUAAUACCGGAUGGUUGUUUGAACCGCAUGGUUCAGACAUAAAAGGUGGCUUCGGCUACCACUUACAGAUGGACCCGCGGCGCAUUAGCUAGUUGGUGAGGUAACGGCUCACCAAGGCGACGAUGCGUAGCCGACCUGAGAGGGUGAUCGGCCACACUGGGACUGAGACACGGCCCAGACUCCUACGGGAGGCAGCAGUAGGGAAUCUUCCGCAAUGGACGAAAGUCUGACGGAGCAACGCCGCGUGAGUGAUGAAGGUUUUCGGAUCGUAAAGCUCUGUUGUUAGGGAAGAACAAGUGCCGUUCAAAUAGGGCGGCACCUUGACGGUACCUAACCAGAAAGCCACGGCUAACUACGUGCCAGCAGCCGCGGUAAUACGUAGGUGGCAAGCGUUGUCCGGAAUUAUUGGGCGUAAAGGGCUCGCAGGCGGUUUCUUAAGUCUGAUGUGAAAGCCCCCGGCUCAACCGGGGAGGGUCAUUGGAAACUGGGGAACUUGAGUGCAGAAGAGGAGAGUGGAAUUCCACGUGUAGCGGUGAAAUGCGUAGAGAUGUGGAGGAACACCAGUGGCGAAGGCGACUCUCUGGUCUGUAACUGACGCUGAGGAGCGAAAGCGUGGGGAGCGAACAGGAUUAGAUACCCUGGUAGUCCAC